rnacentral:rRNA from 1 species
AGCGAACGCUGGCGGCAGGCCUAAAACAUGCAAGUCGAACGGAUCCUUCGGGAUUAGUGGCGGACGGGUGAGUAACACGUGGGAACGUGCCUUUAGGUUCGGAACAACUCAGGGAAACUUGAGCUAAUACCGAAUGUGCCCUUCGGGGGAAAGAUUUAUCGCCUUUAGAGCGGCCCGCGUCUGAUUAGCUUGUUGGUGAGGUAAAGGCUCACCAAGGCGACGAUCAGUAGCUGGUCUGAGAGGAUGAUCAGCCACACUGGGACUGAGACACGGCCCAGACUCCUACGGGAGGCAGCAGUUAGGAAUCUUGCGCAAUGGGGGAAACCCUGACGCAGCCAUGCCGCGUGAAUGAUGAAGGUCUUAGGAUUGUAAAAUUCUUUCAGCGGGGACGAUAAUGACGGUACCCGCAGAAGAAGCCCCGGCUAACUUCGUG